AUACGGAGGACGCGAGCGUUAUCCGGAUUCAUUGGGUUUAAAGGGUGCGCAGGCGGCCGUGCAAGUCAGCGGUGAAAGCCCGGGGCUCAACCCCGGAAGUGCCGUUGAUACUGCAUGGCUUGAAUGCGGUCGAGGCGGGCGGAAUGUGGCGUGGAGCGGGGGAAUGCGUAGAUAUGGCACAGAACGCCGGUGGCGGAGGCAGCUGGCCAGGCCUGCAUUGACGCUCGGGCACGAAAGCGUGGGGAUCGAACAGGAUUAGAUACCCUGGUAGUCCACGCCGUAAACGAUGGGCGCUCGUCGUCGGCGGCAGACAGUCGGCGGCCAAGCGAAAGCGAUAAGCGCCCCACCUGGGGAGUACGGUCGCAAGGCUGAAACUUAAAGGAAUUGGCGGGG
rnacentral:rRNA from 1 species